CCUGAUGCAGCGACGCCGCGUGAGGGAUGACGGCCUUCGGGUUGUAAACCUCUUUCAGCAGGGAAGAAGCGCAAGUGACGGUACCUGCAGAAGAAGCACCGGCUAACUACGUGCCAGCAGCCGCGGUAAUACGUAGGGUGCGAGCGUUGUCCGGAAUUAUUGGGCGUAAAGAGCUUGUAGGCGGUUUGUCGCGUCUGCUGUGAAAAUCCGGGGCUCAACCCCGGACUUGCAGUGGGUACGGGCAGACUAGAGUGUGGUAGGGGAGACUGGAAUUCCUGGUGUAGCGGUGGAAUGCGCAGAUAUCAGGAGGAACACCGAUGGCGAAGGCAGGUCUCUGGGCCACUACUGACGCUGAGAAGCGAAAGCAUGGGGAGCGAACAGGAUUAGAUACCCUGGUAGUCCAUGCCGUAAACGUUGUUUUCUAGGUGUGGGGCUCAUUCCACGAGUUCCGUGCCGCAGCUAACGCAUUAAGCGCCCCGCCUGGGGAGUACGGCCGCAAGGCUAAAACUCAAAGGAAUUGACGG
rnacentral:rRNA from 1 species